GAGGGUGCCAUAAGAACUGCUAACUCUUCAAUCUGGAA
rnacentral:tRNA from 2 species